GGAAAAUUUCCUUUGCCGUCAUUAGGAUUAUGGUGAAAGUUUGUUGUGAACUUGAAGGCUUUAAGAGUUUAAUGCUGCUUUGAUUAAUGUUUUUUGACCACGGCAAUUUUAUGUAAUCAGUUUAUUUUUUAAAAGUUUGACAUUUCUAAAUUUAUUCUUCGACUAAGGUUUCAGAACUCAUUAUGUGUUUGUGAAAGAUUAACCUUUUCCCAUAUUUGAAAUAAUUUCGGUGAAAGGAA
rnacentral:misc_RNA from 1 species